rnacentral:lncRNA from 1 species
UAAAAGCGAUAAAGAUCGUUUUGGGCUUAAAGAAACGUUCGGGUUUAAUUGGGCCCAUUGGGCCUAAAUCCAUUGGGCUUUCAUUCAAGCAUUGGAUGACUUGAAAUAAUAAAAGCCCAAAGCCCAAACAACACUACAAGGGCCGGCCACUUUAGGUGUUUAGGAGAGAAGAAUAGUCAAGUUGUUGACUAGGUUUCUUUUGUCUAUAAAAGGAACUUUAUAGCAAAUGUUUCUAGAGGGUUUUUGUGUGUUUAGAACUACAAAGAGGCUAAAGAAAAACUCUCUCAAAUAUUCACAAGGGCCGGCCACCUUAAGGGAAAAAUAGCUAACAAUCUUUCACCCUUUUGGUUAUUCCUUCAUCCUUCUCAUUACACUAGUGGGUGAGGAUCUUUAGAGGUUUCCUACUUUGGAAACUUGAAGAGAACCUAGGAGCACUCAUUCUUUCAAAGUGGAGGAGGCAAGGAGGGAAGCUAGGCUCAAGGAUUUCAAGGAGCAAAGAGCUUGGAGGUGGUCCAUCCUUGGUCUAAAAUCAUGAUCAAGAGGUAUAGAUCUAUUCCUUGACUUUUGUUCUUGAUUCUUUAAAAUGUUUAUGAUGCAUUAUAUAUAAACCUAUGAACCUUGAAGGGGAUUUGCAUGACUAUAGCUUUGAUUUUAUUUGAUAACAUGCUUCCGUUGCUCAUGUAUAUAAAUUUUGAAUUGUAUAUGCAUGCUAGUCAUCUAGAAAUCCCACAUGAAACUCAUAAAUUUCCCUUCAAUUGGUAUCAGAGCCAAAGGUUUAUGUAUAAUGUGUCCUUUUGGAUUUUAUGCAUAUGGGUAUUAAUGUUAUGUAUGACAUAUUACUUUUCCAUUCAAAGUAUAUGUUUAUCUUUUGUUUUUCAAUAGUUGAAAAAUGUUAGUCAAAAGUUGAGAAAGAUAUGUAUGCAAAAUGUUUUGUAUGCAUGAAUGAAAAAUGAGUUUAGAACUAGUAUGACAUAUUAUUUCUUCAUUUAAAAGUAUGUUUAUCUUUUGUUUUUCAAUGGUUGAAAAAUAUAAAUCAAGAGUUGAAAAAGAUAUGCAUGUAAAAGUUGUUUUGUAUGCAUGAAUGAAGAAUAAGUCAUGAACAAAAUUUGGGGUUUUGUUACUUGGGGUUGGCAUGGUUUUGGCUUAGUGUGUUUGUGUUUUUAUUUUGAAUCACACACACACUUUAAAGCUAGAAAGUAGAAAUCUUGUCACUUUUGUUUUUGGGUUUGAAAAAAUCACCAAGAACAUAUAAAUCUUGAAAAUGUGUUCAUGGUUUUGUUCUUGGUGUUCAUGGUUUGGAUUUGAUGAAAAUGGUUUUCAUGCAUUGUUUUGUGGUUUUGGAUGAUGUACAUACCAUCCAUAGCCAUCUCAAAAAUAUAUUAAAUCCUAAUCUUUAUUAGGUGAAUUUCCAUCAUUUUGUUUCAUUAAAGUCCUUAAAGCAUAGACAAGUGACAAAUAAAAUUUGUUAUUCCUACUUUGAAAUGAUUUAAAGCAAGAUAAGUGAGACCUUCCAUCCCCACAAUAUAUGGCCGGCCUACCCUAUCAAAAUACCCACUUGUGGGGUAUUUUGUAAUUUAGAAAAAGACAUUUUAUACUGUUGAGUAUUUAUGGUUUGACCCCUAACUUUUUCUUAUUUGCAAUUAGGCCCCUACUAACUAGAAAGUUAAAAUAUUUGAUUUUAAUUUUGUUAGUUGUUUAAACUCAUAUUUAUAUUAUGCCCAUAUGCACUAAAUCUAAAUGUUUAUGUUGCAUUCCAUUUAAUUAUUUAAAUGUGUUUAAAUAGUUGUGAAAUGGAUGACUUUGGACUUAUGCCUUAAACGAUAAUUGAGCUAUGAGAUAAGGCGCUAAAAUCAAAUUGUUUGAACCUUGGGAAUGUGUUUUAAUUACUGUUUAAUUGGACCUUGUCACGUUUGACGUUAAUCUAUCUCUCUCCUUUUAGUAUAUGUAAUUUAUAGGAAUUUGUACAAAUCGGUUUGUAAUUCUUAUUACUUCUUAAUCUCUAUUCAUUAGUUGAUUCCCUCUAGUGCUAGACUAGAGUUUCUUUAACUAUUGGUAAGGAGACAUAACUAAAAGAAGGGUUUUGACAUGAGAUUAAAGAUUAAAUGGGUCCAACGCCCUAAUUAGCAAUGAAUGAUUGUCUUUCAUUUCUAAUGGCUCAAUGAAAAUGGUUUUAAUUGGAUUGAUAAGCACGUAAUUAAAUUGACACAACCUCCCCGAGUUUUUAUUCAACAAUGUUGGCUCGUUGUUGCAAUAACCUAAUAAGUCCAUAGUCAUCCAAGAGCCUAAGAUAACUAUAAAGUCCAAUUUCAAAGGAAUGCAAAAACCGUAGUAGUAGUAGUUACUUCCAAUAUUUGAAAAAUUCGUUUUUGAUAUUGAUUUGUUUUUCUCAAAACAAAUAGUGGGAGUAUCAUACGCUACUAAACUAUAAUGAAUACAAUUAGUAGUUAUAUAUAUCUCCAAUAUUUUGAAAAAUGUUUUGAUAUUGAUUUUUUUUUUUUUUUUGAAAAACGAAUAGUGGGGAUAUUAUAUGCUACUAAUUUCAUUAACUUUGGACUAGUAGUUGUAAUAGGACAUUAUUUAUUUGAUUGUGAUUAAAUAAAUGAAAUUGAUGAGACCUUAAAAUCCCUCAACCACUCAAUAUUAAGUUGAAAACGUAAGAGUGCUUGGAACACUUUUUCGUGGCCUUCCACCAUGGUAGGCUCCAAGCGUUUAUGACUUGUACACCGCCUUCACCCUAUAAUGGGGAAGUGACAAAGUGCAUGCUUAUAUUCAGGAGGAGUUUAUUUAAAACAUUUGAUGAGGUGAAGAUAGGCAACGAGUGUGGCCAAUAUCGUAUAAUCGUGAGGUCAUGCUUGAACCCCUAUCUAAACCAGCAUGGUGGGAAAGAACUUAACUAAGAGAAAUGGUGCCAAUAUUGUAUAAUCGUGAGGCAUUGUUCUCUAGAGGCCAAAAAGAUGGGUAAUUGCAAAAGGUUGUUGCAAAUGAGUAAGCGUACUCUCUCAUUAUUAUUGUUGCUAGCCGAUAUCGUAUAAUCGUGAGGUGGGCUUGGUAAUAGUGAGCCUCCCAUAACCCGCUAGGAGCUUUCUUUGAAAUCUCCCGGAUUCCAUUAUGGGGGAUAUGGAAUUUGCCAAAAAUGGUGGGUGGUGUCAUUCGGUUUAAAGACCCGAAUCGUUUGACUUAAUCAACAAUCAAUCUAAUUAUUUUAAUUGUUUAUGUAUAUAGAUAUGGUUGGAAGCACACUCGCAAAAAUACUCGACAAACAUUGCCUUGAGGGGCACAAUUUCCCAUCAUGGUAUCAUAAUGUCAAGAUUCUCCUAACAUUGGAGAAGAUUGUUUACGUACUAGACAAGUCUCCACCUCACAUACCUCUCGGCCCUGAGGCUACAGAGGAUGAACGUGCUAAGUUUGACAAGCACGUUGAGGAUGACACACAAGCCAAGUGCUAUCUGUUGGCUUCCAUGAAUGAGGAGCUACAGAGACAGCACGAGGACAUGGACAAUGCAUUUUCCAUAAUACUCCAUCUUACGGAGUUAUAUGGCGAAGGGACGCGCAACCGUCGCUUUAGCACUGUCUGUGAGCUUGUGAAGACCAAGAUGGUCAAAGGGGCUCCAGUACACCAACAUGUACUGAAGAUGAUAGGAUUCAUUGAACAAUUGAGAGAACCUUGGUACUCCACUUGACGGGGAAUUGGCCCAGGACUUUAUAUUGGCUUCUCUUUCUGAUUCAUUUGCGCAGUUCGUAAUGAACUACAAUAUGAAUAAGAUGGAUAGUACUCUCUCUGAGUUACUAAAUAUGUUAGUAACUGCCGAGAAGACUAUGAAGAAAGAGAAUGUUGUAGGGACUGCUGCAGUAGCCUACAACAAGCCAUCCUCUUCCAAGGCCAUGCCGCAAGGCAAAGGCAAAGGGAAGGAGAAGAAGUCACCCACUCCUAAGCCGAAAGGAGGAGUGAAGAAAAAGAAGGCAAUGGAGCCCAAAGGGACUUGCCACCACUGUGGAAAGGAGGGGCAUUGGAGGAGGAAUUGCAGGUUAUAUCUUGCAAGUCUUAAGGACAAACCACAAGGUAUGGUUUUAUGUUCCUAUCUUCAAUUCUAAAUGUUAGAUCUUCUAAAUAUUUAUAUUUUGAUAUAAAGCGCUAAUCACUUGUAUAAUUGUAUAUAGGUGGAGAAGCCAAGUAGAGAAGAAGAACAAGCAAAGAAAAUGUGGUGAAGGGUUCGGCUACUAUGUUUUUUGCUCACUACUUAGGAAGUUUGUUAGGCAUUAAAGAUUGUCUUUAAACUUUCUUAUUAUUUUGAUAAGAACUUAUUAUGUGGCUUCAUAUGAUGGAAGACCACUAUUAAUGCCUAAAUGUAUAAAGGUAUUUAUAUUAGUCUCUAAAUGUUUAGAGCUAAUAAUUAUUGUAUUAAACAUUAUGAAUGUUUGAAUUAUCAUGUAAUGUGAUGAAUGCCUUUUUAAUAUACUAUUUCCUUAAAGAAGUGUUAUGAAUUGAAAAUUGUCUUGUUGUAUCCUAGAUGAGAUACAAGAGUUAUAUCACAAUGAUAUAAGUAAUAAGAAAAAGGUUUCUUAUAAGGUUAAUCACUUAAAUCACAAUGAUCAAGAUCACUCUUGAUUCAAUUAGUAGUUUUGAACAACAUAUUGGGCAUUCUUUAAAAUUGUUUUAAAAUGUCAAUUGUGUUAGUGAUGAAACCAAGAAAGAAGUGUGUCUAAAUCUAUAAAAUGUUUAAAGACUUUAGUCACUUAAAUAACAAGACAUUAACUUAGUGAAGAUUGAAACAAAUAAGCUUGAAAUGUUUUAAGCUACUACACAAUGUCUUCUUCCAAUAUAUUCCAAUUUUAUACAUUUUUGAAUGUAUAUAAAGUGAUUUCUCAUUAAAGUCAUGAGAAAUAGUGGGAGGUGUGAAAAUGGAUAUAAACUUGAAUGUGAUUGGUUUAUAGUUGUCUAAAUGAAUAAUAGUACUUGACUAUUAUUAAGAAUUUGUAAUUUUAAUUGUUAAAAGAACUCAAGCUCUUCAAACGUUAAAAUUCUAUGUUGUGAGACAUUUAAAGAAUAGUCUUUGAAUGUUGGUUUCGUCAACCUAGCAUAAAAUGGUUAUAUGUUGGGAGUUGUCCAUCAUUCUCUUUUUAUGAGAACAAGCUAAUAACAAAGCAUAUGGACAAGUUGAUGAAACAAAAGGGAAUAAGUUUCAAAAUGAGUCACAACAUAUAUUAACAACAAGACAAUCCAAAUUCGACAUCUCAUGUAACGAUAUUGCUCUAUGUAGUUUUGAUAAAGAAUUAAAACAACCACCUAGAAGGAAUGGUUGAGUUUCUAUGUCCUUAGAAGGAGCUAUGUUCCACUAAAGACUUAGAUAAUUCUUAUAUGACUACAUUAAAGGUCUUAGUAUGACUAAAACGUGAAAUAUGAUGUAUGACACCAUAUGAUUUAAAUGAAUAGACUUAAUGAAACAAGUCACACAUUUUGGAAUUACUUGAGAAGGAAUUCUUUUGUGUAUGAUUCAUUUAAGUUAAUGGGAGCAAUAUGCAUUCAAAUCAAGAAAUUAUAAUUGUUAAUUUUGAAGGAAUGCUAAGUUACAAACAAGGCCAGUGGGAGUGAUGUCAUAAUUUGAGCAACAAAGAUAUGAAUAAAGUCUAUUUGAUAGACUUACUUAAACAUAGAUGUUACUCGAAAAAUGACAAAAUAUGACACGGUCAAUUUUGAAGUAUAGACUUGAAAUUGGACUUAUUGAUAUAGCAAGGCUAUUUCAAUAAUGUUAUAUGGAAUUAAAUCUCAGAUGUUGGAGAUUUAAGAAAGCAUUUUACUAUAUGAUAGAAAAUCACUUUCAUAUCCCUUAUAAUGAAUGUGUCAUAAAAUCACAAAAGGGACACAUGUAUUGACUUGUGAAGUAGAUAUCCAAAGAUGAAGAAACCACACGGGUUGUUACUUUAAGAUAUUACUAUAUCCCAGGAUCAGAACCAAAGCAACUGAUAGAGUAUUAUUGCCUUUAAGAAAGAAACAUCAGAGUGGGACUCUGGAAGCGUGCAUUCACUUAGGUUGAUUAACCAAAGUGAAAGAUAAGCCAUUUUAACAAAUGGAACUUCAUAAUGGAUGAAGUACUAAUCAUAUGAAUGAAUUGUUAGUAUUGUACUACAAUGGUCUCAAGAUUGGAGCAAAGUUUGUAUAAAGUAUACAAACGAAAUAUAUGUCGAUAUAUAGUUUUAGAAACUGCUUCAAAAGGUGUUUUGAAUGAAGAGGUUCUUAUAGAACCAAUGAUUGAAUCCAAACCAUAAGGUCGUUAGUAGGAUACUACGACGUAAUGGGGCGAUAGCUCAAGCCAUGGAAUCAAGGUCUCAUCAAAAUAUUCGAACACGAUGAAGAGACAUCAUCAAAUGUUUUUGGAACAUUUGAUAAGUAAAUCCCUUUUAAAUAAUAAAAGGAAUUAAUACAUAACCAAGUUAACCUACGACCAUAAGCUCUCUCAGCUAAGAUGUAUAAGAUACACUAGUAAUUGACUUUAGUGCAAGUGGGAGAUUGUUGGAAAUAUGCCCUGAAAGUCAAUCUUUGGAAGAAAUCUUUCAGGACAAAUGAAUGGAUGUAUGGAUGAAUCUUAUACAUCAAAGGCAAAAACACGAAUUAGGACUAUCUCAAUGAACGAUAUAUGUCCUAAAUAGUGUAUCCAUGGACAAUAGAUUGAUUGAAGAAGUAAUCUAAUGAUGUUAGAUUACAGAGACCUUCUUCAUAUAACCAAAUGUCCAAAAGGUUCCUAGUCAUUGGAUUGUCGGAGGGAUACUGACAAUGCGUAGACUGGUACAUACUGUGUCUGCUUCAAAUGGAAGGAUGGAAAGUCUCAUCCCAUUCGUGUUGUGACACUAAGACAAGUAUGUAGGUGCUCAUUAGGGGAAUGAGUUCAUUGAACACAAUCGAACGAGAGUACUUGCAUGGAGGUCUACUCACAUGUCAAGGAAGUAACUCUAAUGGUUGGAAUAAUGUAAGUAGUCCUUAGACCUGAGGCAUCGUCGUUGUCUUGUGGCUAAGUACUUAAUCUUUGAUUAUGUCAAAGUCUCCCCAUUCGAGGGUGUCCACGGCAUGAUUGGGGUUAAGCCACUUAGUCAUGAAGGCAAGUGUAUGCACAACAAGGAAUCUCUAAUCCUCGGUAAGAGAGGAAGAAUGCUCUAAGAUAUGAUUCGAGAAUCUUCGGCCGAAGUAUUGAGCGUAUUAAAAGGAAUGCGUUCCUAUACGACUCAAAUGAAUCAUAUAAGAAGGAAUAAUCACAUUAGGGGUUUGACAUAAUAUAUCCAUACCCUAAUGAUGUGAUUGAGAGUAUUGUAUUAGAGAAGGAUCGAAUUACAUUGUAAUUCUAACUGAAUAGGUUCUCUGAAUAAACUUCUACAUUAGCUUGGGUAGCUAUGACAUAUGGUUAGAUGUCACUCAUAGCUUGUGAGUUCUUCUAGAUGAUUAAAUGUAGUCAUCAAAGAAGAAUGGUGAAUUGAAAUGAAGUUUCAAUUCACUAAGUGAUUGAAUUAAUUGGAUUAGUGCCAAUUACCUCACUGCCUUGCUAAUUAGAACCUAAAAGAUUGUUCACCAAUACACUAUUGUAGUGAGUAAUUAAUGGAUGAUGGAAACAAUUAAUUGGAUUAAUUAUGUGUUGUGAUUAAUUUAGAAAAGUCUAAAGAAAUCAUAAAAGCGAUAAAGAUCAUUUUGGGCUUAAAGAAACGUUCGGGUUUAAUUGGGCCCAUUGGGCCUAAACCCAUUGGGCUUUCAUUCAAGCAUUGGAUGACUUGAAAUAAUAAAAGCCCAAAGCCCAAACAACACUACAAGGGCCGGCCACUUUAGGUGUUUAGGAGAGAAGAAUAGUCAAGUUGUUGACUAGGUUUCUUUUGUCUAUAAAAGGAACUUUAUAGCAAAUGUUUCUAGAGGGUUUUUGUGUGUUUAGAACUACAAAGAGGGUAAAGAAAAAACUCUCUCAAAUAUUCACAAGGGCUGGCCCACCUUAAGGGAAAAAUAGCUAACAAUCUUUCACCCUUUUGGUUAUUCCUUCAUCCUUCUCAUUACACUAGUGGGUGAGGAUCUUUAGAG